rnacentral:rRNA from 1 species
GCUAGUAAUGGCAGGUCAGCAUACUGCCGUGAAUACGUUCCCGGGCCUUGUACACACCGCCCGUCACACCAUGAGAGUUGGGGAUACCCAAAGCCCGUGAGCCAACUAUAAAGAGGCAGCGGUCUAAGGUAGAAUCAAUGAUUGGGGUGAAGUCGUAACAAGGUACC